UACGUAGGGUGCAAGCGUUAAUCGGAAUUACUGGGCGUAAAGCGUGCGCAGGCGGCUUUGCAAGACAGAUGUGAAAUCCCCGGGCUUAACCUGGGAACUGCAUUUGUGACUGCAUGGCUAGAGUGCGGCAGAGGGGGAUGGAAUUCCGCGUGUAGCAGUGAAAUGCGUAGAUAUGCGGAGGAACACCGAUGGCGAAGGCAAUCCCCUGGGCCUGCACUGACGCUCAUGCACGAAAGCGUGGGAAGCAAACAGG
rnacentral:rRNA from 1 species